CAGCCGCCACGGUGAUACGAAGGGGGCUAGCGUUGCUCGGAAUUACUGGGCGUAAAGGGCGCGUAGGCGGCCAUUCAAGUUAGAUGUGAAAGCCCUGGGCUCAACCUAGGAAUUGCAUUUGAUACUGUUUGGCUUGAGUUCGGGAGAGGUGAGUGGAAUUCCCAGUGUAGAGGUGAAAUUCGUAGAUAUUGGGAAGAACACCAGUGGCGAAGGCGGCUCACUGGACCGACACUGACGCUGAGGCGCGAAAGCGUGGGGAGCAAACAGGAUUAGAUACCCGCGUAGUCCCUGUCUCUUAUAC
rnacentral:rRNA from 1 species